CUGUCAAAGCCUCGUAUUUACA
rnacentral:piRNA from 1 species